AUGACAGACUCAAUACCAGAGCUCCUUGAAGACUACACAUGUGUUAUAUGCAAUCAGCAAGCUCUUGAGACAAGGAACCAUCUCUUUUUCCAUUGCCCAUUUGCCAUAAUGUGUUGGGGGUAUCUUUGCCCUGCUUGGUCACCUCUUCAUGCAAGUAUCCAAGACCAGCUCCAGCAGUUGGUCCAACCUAUGAACCUACCAUUUGCCAUGGAUAUUAUCAUCCUGCUAGCCCGGGCUAUUUGGAACACUAGAAAUGGCUUUAUAUUCAGUCAUAUUCCUCCAAGCUUAUAUUCCUGCAGGAGGAUGUUCAAGGAGGAACUUUAGUGGUUGACUCUCAGAGGCAAACGAAAAUCUUUUGAAGCUCUGCCUGGUUGGGUGCAAAAUUUCACAUGA
rnacentral:rRNA from 1 species